rnacentral:rRNA from 1 species
UACGAAGGGGGCUAGCGUUGUUCGGAAUCACUGGGCGUAAAGCGCACGUAGGCGGAUCUUUAAGUCAGGGGUGAAAUCCCGAGGCUCAACCUCGGAACUGCCUUUGAUACUGCGGAUCUCGAGUCCGGGAGAGGUGAGUGGAACUGCGAGUGUAGAGGUGAAAUUCGUAGAUAUUCGCAAGAACACCAGUGGCGAAGGCGGCUCACUGGCCCGGAACUGACGCUGAGGUGCGAAAGCGUGGGGAGCAAACAGG